rnacentral:rRNA from 1 species
CCUACGGGAGGCAGCAGUGAGGAAUAUUGGUCAAUGGGCGAGAGCCUGAACCAGCCAAGUCGCGUGAGGGAGUACUGCCCUAUGGGUUGUAAACCUCUUUUGUCGGGGAGCAAAAGCCGGACGUGUCCGGCUGUGAGAGUACCCGAAGAAAAAGCAUCGGCUAACUCCGUGCCAGCAGCCGCGGUAAUACGGAGGAUGCGAGCGUUAUCCGGAUUUAUUGGGGUUAAGGGGUGCGCAGGCGGAUUUUUAAGUCAGCGGUCAAAUCGUGGGGCUCAACCCCAUCCAGCCGUUGAAACUGGGGAUCUAGAGUGUGCGAGAGGUAUGCGGAAUGCGUGGUGUAGCGGUGAAAUGCAUAGAUAUCACGCAGAACCCCGAUUGCGAAGGCAGCAUACCGGUGCACAACUGACGCUCAGGCACGAAAGCGUGGGUAUCGAACAGGAUUAGAUACCCUUGUAGUC